rnacentral:tRNA from 1 species
GGAGGAGUGACUGAGUGGUUGAAGGUACCGGUUUCGAAAACCGGCAGGGGAGAAAUCCUCUCGUGGGUUCAAAUCCCACCUCCUCCG